UUAAAGCAUGAAGCCCAAAUGCGGGCUGCAGCUUCCGCCAGACAGUCAUUUAAGAUAUUAAAUUUUGUCGGACUUUUAUUGUCUCUCUGCCUUUGUUGGUGCUCACUCCCACCCGCAGCAGCAACAGCCACCUCCCUCUUCAUCGAUACAGCCAUACAACCUCCUCCUCCUCUUCUCUCCCACCCACCCAGCCAGAACCCCACCGCUUCCCACAAGUCAGUGCAACCGCCGAAGGCAUGCCGGGGGCGGAAGCGGCACGCACGCGGGGCUCGGUGAUUCGGAGGCCGCCGCCGGUGCUGUGAACUAGAACGACUUCCUCUGGUCCCACACGGGGGGGUGACCGAGACCACCUCUGAGAGGUCGAGAGCGGGUCAAAGCCCACAACAGGCACACUGAUUUAUCUGUCUAGCUCGUCUCAGUCAGCGGGGAGCCGGAGCUAGCUUGCUACCUCUGAUUUUCACAAAGCAUUAUGGCUGAUUUAGCCCCCUUUCGUGUUUCCCUCACAAUCACCUCUCAUUUAAACUCAGAUAGUGACAGUAACGCUUUAUAAUAAAGCUGUGAACUUUAACAUUGACCCUGUUAGUGUAAUGUGUGCUGUUUACAGUGCGGUUAACCACUUUUUUCCCCGUUCACUUUCACUGCACCCCGGGGCAAGUUCACUGCCACGGAAAGUUCCAGAAUGUCACGUUCAGGGACCGUGGGACAAAACCACUCCUGAUGUAACAGUAAAACACCUGCGAGGGAGGAGGUCCCUCUUAAUAACAGUCCAUUAAAGCCGCAGGUGAGAAGGGUUGACCUGUCUGUUCAUAAAGCCACCAAAGGAGGGUGGUGACACCGGCUUUGACACCAUCUCCUCUCUCCUCCCCAGCUGGGCUUAUCAGAUACAUGUAGCCUCCGGCGGGGGAGUCAGCUGUGUGCUUUUCUGCCCCUCCAGGGCGACCUAAUUACCUCCCUGGGGGUAUCAGCAUGAGUCCUGCCAUGUCUGUGAGCUGUCGGGGGGUUAAUGGGAAAGGGCAAAAGAAUGGAGCUACUUUUUUGGUGAUGGUCGAGGGAAGUCAGUGUGAACUUUGAGGAGAGGUGAAGAGCAACAGGUGCCUGAGCUGCUCCGGCUCGGCUGAGGAAUUUGCUGGCGUCUGAUCCAACCUCCACAUCUGCCAAGAGAGAGGAACUGUGCACGACAAGGCGCGUGAGGAGAGCAGACGUUUGUGAAGAGGAAGACCCCGUUCCCUCCCCCUCCCUUCCUCACUGAGCCUCUGGCCACGGAGGUGUCAGCCGGUGCCAAACUGAGAGGCUGGCGAGACGACCUCGCUUAGUGAGCAGCUUUCAUAACUGUGACCGGAGCAAAGAGAGAGAGAGAUGCUGCGAGUUUAGAGACUUACCCUCUUCCGCCUCCCUCCUCCUCCCCGUGUCCGUUUGGCAGGGAGACGUGUCGGGGAUGAGAGAGGAAAAGUGCCUCCCCUGGGUGCUGAGCUCCAGCUAACCCAGAUUUUAUGCAGUGUGACACACAGAGGAAGACACUGGCUGUCUGAGCCGAGGCGGCCCAGGGAGCAGGUCCUGAUUAGAUAACAGCAGAGAGGGGGGCAGGCUGGGAAUCACCUACACACUCAUCCACCAUCCAUCAUCUUCUACUUAUCCUGGGUCGGGUCGCGGAGACGGACGCCCAAGCAGAGGCCCAGACUUCCUUCUCCCUAUCCACUUGGGCCAGCUCCUCUGGGGAAUCCCAAGGUGUUCCCUGGGCCUGGCCUAUCCCACCAUGGCCCAGAUGCUAAGCUACAUCCCUGAACCUCCUUCCCACGGAAGUUCUCUCCCACUCAGCACAGAUGUAGGGUGGGCAUCCUAACUAGAUGCCUAAGCCACCUCAACUGGCUCCUGUUGGUGUGGAGGAGGAGCUGCUCUACUCCGAGCCCCUCCCGGAUGACCGAGCUUCUCACCCUAUCUCUAAAGGAGGGCCCAGACACCCUGCGGAGAAAACUCAUUUCAGCCGCUUGUAUCUGUGAUCUCGUUCUUUCUGUCACUACCUAAAGCUCGUGACCAUAAGUGAGGGCAGGAACAUAGAUCGACCGGUAAAUCGAGAACUUUGCCUUCUGGCUCAGCUCUCUCUUCACCACGACAGACCGGUACAACGCCCGCAUCACUGCAGACGCAGAAUCGAUCCACUUGUGGAUCUUUUGCUCCAUCUUUCCCUCACGUAAACAAGACCCCAAGAUACUUAAAUUCCUCUCUUGGGAGAAGACCUAAAGGAUGACCCAGGACACGCUGGUGAGACUGUGUCUCUCAGCCGGCCAGGGAACACCUUAGGAUGCCCCGGAGGUGCUGGCCCAAGCGGCUUGGGAGAGGGAAGUCUGGGCCUUCCUGCUUAGGCUACUGCUCCCGCAACCCGACUCCGGAUAAGCGGCGGAAAAUGCAUGGAUGGAAACUAAACUAAAUGAAAUCAUAUUUAACAAAAGUGAUUUGAAUUGGAUCAGAUCAAUAAAUUAAUAAAUAAAACGUUCAAUUUUUUUUUAUUUUAAAUAAAAUGAAGAAAAAAAAUUAAAUAAAGUUUGACCAAAAUGACUUGAAUUGAAAUUGAAAAGCAAAAAUUACUGAACUGAAAUUAUGAAAAUAAAUAUUAAAAAAGUUAAGUUAAUAAUACUGAAUUGGACUCAACAACGUUGGAUUUGAAUCUGGUCCAGACUGUGAAGCGAGUGAUGAAAG